rnacentral:misc_RNA from 1 species
UCCGGUUUGUCACCGGCAGUCUCGCAUGAGUCCCCAACUGAAUGCUGGCAACAUGCGACGGGGGUUGCGCUCGUUGCGGGACUUAACCCAACACCUCACGGCACGAGCUGACGACAGCCGUGCAGCACCUGUGCACGCUCCCUCGCGGGUCCCUCGGGUUUCCCCUCGGUACCACGUGCAUGUCAAGCCCGGGUAAGGUUCUUCGCGUUGCAUCGAAUUAAACCACACGCUCCGCUGCUUGUGCGGGUCCCCGUCAAUUCCUUUGAGUUUUAGGCUUGCGCCCGUACUCCCCAGGCGGGCUACUUACUGUGUUAACGCCGGCGCUGGAGGGGUCGAUACCCCCAACACCUAGUAGCCAUCGUUUACGGCUAGGACUAC